rnacentral:tRNA from 1 species
GAUUGUCUUGGCGGAGGCGCUGCCGGUUGUGGUGUGAUCGCCGGUGGCAUUGUUGCCGCCGGAGUCGCGGUUGCAGGCAGCGAGACCGGCGC